UACGAAGGGGGCUAGCGUUGCUCGGAAUCACUGGGCGUAAAGGGUGCGUAGGCGGCGGAGCAAGUCAGGUGUGAAAUCCCGGAGCUCAACUCCGGAACUGCAUUUGAUACUGCUUCGCUAGAGUACUGGAGAGGAGACUGGAAUUUACGGUGUAGCAGUGAAAUGCGUAGAUAUCGUAAGGAAGACCAGUGGCGAAGGCGAGUCUCUGGACAGUUACUGACGCUGAGGCACGAAGGCCAGGGGAGCGAACGGG
rnacentral:rRNA from 1 species